rnacentral:rRNA from 1 species
GCAAGUCUAGGAGAACGCUUCCUUCGGGAAGUUAUUAAACUGGCGAACGGGUGAGUAACGCGUAGGCAACCUGCCCUUAUCUCUGACAUAACAUCGAGAAAUUGAUGCUAAUAUCAGAUAUUGUACUUCGGUAUGAAAGGCUUCGGCCGGAUAGAGAUGGGCAUGCGUUAGAUUAACUAGUUGGUAAGGUAACGGCUUACCAUGGCAACGAUCUAUAGCUGGUUUGAGAGGAUGAUC